GACGUGGGGGGCCAGCGUUGCUCGGAAUUACUGGGUGUAAAGGGUCAGUAGGCGGUGUGGCAAGUCGGGAGUGAAAUCUCUGGGCUUAACUCAGAGACUGCUUCCGAAACUGCUGUGCUUGAGUAUGGGAGAGGCGCGUGGAAUUGCAGGUGUAGCGGUGAAAUGCGUAGAUAUCUGCAGGAACACCCGUGGCGAAAGCGGCUCACUGGACCAUUACUGACGCUGAUGCACGAAAGCUAGGGGAGCAAACAGG
rnacentral:rRNA from 1 species